GACUUUAAGAAAAAAACAUGCAAUAUGAUUUCCUACUUAAAGCAAAAUCUACAUUUCCUACAACGACUUCCUUGAUUGAGGGUUGCUAUUUACAAUGUAGCUAUAAAAUCGUAGGUUCCAAAUAGUGGGGAGGUUUAAAUCAUCUCUCUUUAUGUUUUCGGACCCAAUAACAACAUGGUCAUCUUUCCUCAAACAUACGAAGCACCGUCUCCAAACCAAAAUGACAAAAUAACAUUUUGAGUUGUUACAAUUGCACUCAAGACACUCAUGAACACAUAACAAAAUUGCUGCAAAUUUAAUACUGCGUUGUGCUGUUUUUCUAAGAUUGACAAAGUGUUACCGUUCUCUUUCUUUUGUAGGUGCCUCGGGUAUGACUGUACAUUUUUUGCCAGUCGUUUGUCUCGUUACAAGUGUUAUUUGGAUCCCAUAACACAGUCGUCAUAAGAUUUGCUGCUAACAUUAUAAACC
rnacentral:lncRNA from 1 species